rnacentral:rRNA from 1 species
GCGAGAAGAGCUUGCUCUCUUGGCGGCGAGUGGGGGACGGGUGAGUAAUAUAUCGGAACGUGCCCAGUAGCGGGGGAUAACUACUCGAAAGAGUGGCUAAUACCGCAUACGCCCUACGGGGGAAAGGGGGGGAUCGCAAGACCUCUCACUAUUGGAGCGGCCGAUAUCGGAUUAGCUAGUUGGUGGGGUAAAGGCUCACCAAGGCAACGAUCCGUAGCUGGUUUGAGAGGACGACCAGCCACACUGGGACUGAGACACGGCCCAGACUCCUACGGGAGGCAGCAGUGGGGAAUUUUGGACAAUGGGGGAAACCCUGAUCCAGCCAUCCCGCGUGUAUGAUGAAGGCCUUCGGGUUGUAAAGUACUUUUGGCAGAGAAAGAAAAGGUAUCCCCUAAUACGGGGAUACUGCUGACGGUAUCUGCAGAAAUAAGCACCGGCUAACUACGUGCCCAGCAGCCGCGGUAAUACGUAGGGUGCAAGCGUUAAUCGGAAUUACUGGGCGUAAAGCGUGUGUAGGCGGUUCGGAAAGAAAGAUGUGAAAUCCCCAGGGCUCAACCUUGGAACUGCAUUUUUAACUGCCGAGCUAGAGUAUGUCAGAGGGGGGUAGAAUUCCACGUGUAGCAGUGAAAUGCGUAGAUAUGUGGAGGAAUACCGAUGGGCGAAAGGCACCCCCCUGGGAUAAUACUGGACGCUCAGACACGAAAGCGUGGGGGAGCAAACAGGAUUAGAUACCCUGGGUAGUCCACGCCCCUAAAACGAUGUCAACUAAGCUGUUGGGGGCCGUUAGGCCUUUAGUAAGCGCACCUAACGCGUGAAAGUUGCCCGCCUGGGGGAGUACCGGUCCGCAAGAUUAAAAACUCAAAAGGAAAUUGACGGGGACCCGCACAAGCGGGUGGAUGAUGUGGAUUUAAUUUCGAAUGCAACGCGAAAAAAAACCCUUUACCCUACCCCUUUGACAUGUCUGGGAAAAAGCCGAAAGAGAUUUUGGCCGUGCUCGCAAGAGAAACCCGGGAACACAGGGUGCUGGCAUGGGCUGUCCGUCAGCUCGUGUCGUGAGAUGUUGGGUUAAGUCCCCGCAAAAAGCCGCAACCCCCUUUGUAUUAUUUGCUUCGCAAGAGCACUCUAAUGAGACUGCCGGUGACAAACCGGAGGAAGGUGGGGAUGACGUCAAGUCCUCAUGGCCCUUAUGGGUAGGGCUUCACCCGUCAUACAAUGGUCGGUACAGAGGGUUGCCAACCCCCGAGGGGGAGCCAAUCUCAGAAACCCGAUCGUAGUCCGGAUCGCAGUCUGCAACUCGACUGCGUGAAGUCGGAAUCGCUAGUAAUCGCGGAUCAGAAUGUCGCGGUGAAUACGUUCCCGGGUCUUGUACACCCCGCCCGUCACACCAUGGGAGUGGGUUUCACCAGAAGUAGGUAGCCUAACCGCAAGGAGGGCGCUUCCCACGGUGGGAUUCAUGACUGGGGUGAA